AACGAACGCUGGCGGCAGGCCUAACACAUGCAAGUCGAGCGAAGCCUUCGGGCUUAGCGGCGGACGGGUGAGUAACGCGUGGGAACGUGCCCUUUGGUACGGAAUAGCCCCGGGAGACUGGGAGUAAUACCGUAUGUGGUCGAGAGACGAAAGAUUUAUCGCCAAAGGAUCGGCCCGCGUUGGAUUAGGUAGUUGGUGGGGUAAUGGCCUACCAAGCCGACGAUCCAUAGCUGGUUUGAGAGGAUGAUCAGCCACACUGGGACUGAGACACGGCCCAGACUCCUACGGGAGGCAGCAGUGGGGAAUCUUAGACAAUGGGGAAACCCUGAUCUAGCCAUGCCGCGUGAUCGAUGAAGGCCUUAGGGUUGUAAAGAUCUUUCAGUGGGGAAGAUAAUGACUGUACCCACAGAAGAAGCCCCGGCUAACUCCGUGCCAGCCGCCGCAGUAAAAC
rnacentral:rRNA from 1 species